rnacentral:lncRNA from 1 species
AAGUGGUAGCGACAAAGCUCGGUGGGCGGCGGGCGGUGUAGUGCAGGGAGCGCCGGGCGGCGGGCGGCAGGGAGGGGCGGAGCGCAGGAGGUGGAGGCGGGAGCAGAGCUGCUCGGCCGUGCGCGGAGACGCGCGGAGCCGGCGGGCCAAGCUUGACGGGCCCCUCGCCGCUCCUCCUCUCCCCUCCCUGCCACCAUCCUGCUCGUUCUCCUCCGGACGCGGCUGGGCUCCGUGUGGCGCCACCGUGCCGCCAGCAGUGCCCGUUCGCCCGAGGCGCGUGGGGCGCCCCCGCAGCCCCGCGAAUGCUGCUGCUAGGGGUGGUGGGAGCAGCCGUGGGACGCGUGGCCGGGAGCGGGGGUGACAGCCUGGGAUUCCAGGGUCUUCUCUUCCUUGUCCUCCUCCUCUCCUCUCUAUUCCCAGUGUGGCCGUGGCUGACACUAAAGACUUUGUAGCCAUCAACCAGAGUGCAGUUUCGAUGGAAAAUGAAGGUAAAGGCCCCUGGCAGAUGGGCUUGUAAUACAAGAGUUGAGGGUGUGGUGGUUUGCUUUUUAAGUUGUCCUUUCCCACCUUUUUAUUUUCCUGAUUUUAUGUAAUUGAUUUUUCUCCCCCUUUGCAUGUGAAAUGUCAGAGGAUUUGCUUCCCUAAGGGCAUGUAGCUUUUAUUUUGGUAACAUGGGCAUUGCGGGGAUUAAGGUUCUGCGGGUGACAGCUUGAUUCUGCUUUCCUGGGAAAUGGUUAUUUUCUUUAGCUUAGGGAAUGGAACGGAAGUUUUCAUUUGAGAUAGCAUCUGAGCACAUCCUUAUAGCUCUUUGAAAGGAAUCCGUGGGUGCGAAGUGGAAAGGGGCAGAGAAGGCAGUGGGUCAGAUCUCUGUAUAUUUGCGUAGCAAGCUUUGUUAGGGCGUGUGACUGAAUCAUAAAAAGAUUUCUAAAAUAAAUUCCAGCUUUGACAAAAAGCGUUUUUGAACUCAGAUUAAGGGGGAAAAAAAAAACAAACCCAAAAUCAAAACACCCUAACCCUUUAGUUUAAUGAAAUUUUCAGAGAGUUUCCUGUCUUAAAGUCCCGCCCUAUUUCAAAACAUCUUUGGGAGGUUGACAGUGGAACCUGUUUGUCCCUAUUACACAUCGUGUUUGGACGCAUUUGUCUGUCACAUUACUGGAUCGCUUUGGCCUCAUUCAAAUAAUGCUUCUCAUUUAUAGCACUUAGGUUUUAAAAAGUAUUGACUAACUGAGUAAAUGAUUUUUCUUCCCUCUUGAACUAACCAUGUUUAUUGUUUAUGCUGACUUUCUGGCUUGUGUAUAAUUAUCUUUCUUUUUUCCCCACCUCCCUUUUUGACUGGACUGCAAGAUGCUAGAAAAGGUACUUGACAAAUCAUUUCUUCCUCCCUUCCCUUGUUUGCUUUUAAAAUCUGUAUCUGGUACACAGGAGCUGCAGUGUAAGUUGAAUGCUUUUCCCAUUGUUGAGAAUGUAAGCUUGAUUGGCUAAGUAGGACUUUAAAUCUUAAAAUAGGUGUUUCUUGUGGAUGUCGUAAUCUGUUGUGCGAUUGGAGAACCGUGGCAUAUGUAGGAAAUAUGGUGAGAGGCAUGGUUAACUUGGCCCGUUUCAUUCUAGAGGGAUAGUUGGUGGAAUGCGUUUUCUGACACACUGAAGUGUGUAACUGCAGAGGAGUUUAUGCUAAUUGGAUCUUGAGGAAAGCAGUUGUGUUUUUUUUCUGAUGGUAUGAAAAAUUAUCCUCUUGUCUUUUAUAGAUUUCAGAAAGUCAGAUUUUUUUUAUAAGACAAUAUUAAGCCCAUUCAUAUAGCGGUUUCUAUUUAGAAAUCUCUGUAAGUAAAUCUCAGAGUUACUGUACAUAUCCGAGCUAUUUUCAGAGUAUUACCAGAUUUAGCAGAGUAGCCUGAAGUAGGUGGAUACUUGGCUGUUGGUUUCCUUUCUCGGU